ACUCCUACGGGAGGCAGCAGUAGGGAAUCUUCCACAAUGGGCGCAAGCCUGAUGGAGCAACACCGCGUGAGUGAAGAAGGGUUUCGGCUCGUAAAGCUCUGUUGUUAAAGAAGAACACGUAUGAGAGUAACUGUUCAUACGUUGACGGUAUUUAACCAGAAAGUCACGGCUAACUACGUGCCAGCAGCCGCGGUAAUACGUAGGUGGCAAGCGUUAUCCGGAUUUAUUGGGCGUAAAGAGAGUGCAGGCGGUUUUCUAAGUCUGAUGUGAAAGCCUUCGGCUUAACCGGAGAAGUGCAUCGGAAACUGGAUAACUUGAGUGCAGAAGAGGUAGUGGAACUCCAUGUGUAGCGGUGGAAUGCGUAGAUAUAUGGAAGAACACCAGUGGCGAAGGCGGCUACCUGGUCUGCAACUGACGCUGAGACUCGAAAGCAUGGGUAGCGAACAGGAUUAGAUACCCCUGGUAGGCUAGCG
rnacentral:rRNA from 1 species